UACGUAGGUGGCAAGCGUUACUCGGAAUUACUAGGCGUAAAGCGCAGGUAGGUGGUUGGGUAAGUCCGCAAUGAAAGCUCCUGGCUUAACCGGGAGAUGUUUGUAGAUACUGCCUGACUCGAGUGUGGGAGAGGUGACUGGAAUUCCCGGUGUAGCGGUGAAAUGCGUAGAGAUCGGGAGGAACACCAACGGCGAAAGCAGGUCACUGGCCCAAUACUGACACUGAGCUGCGAAAGCUAGGGGAGCAAACAGG
rnacentral:rRNA from 1 species